AGCAGCCGCGGUAAUUCCAGCUCCAAUAGCGUAUAUUAAAGUUGUUGCAGUUAAAAAGCUCGUAGUUGAAUUUCGAGAUCAAUUUGUUGGUCGUGCCUCGGUACGUACUGGCAAUUUUGAUUUCUCCCUUCUGAAGAACCAUGAUGUCAUUAAUUUGGUGUCAUGGGGAAUCAGGACCGUUACUUUGAAAAAUUAGAGUGUUUAAAGCAGGCUCGCGCUUGAAUACAUUAGCAUGGAAUAAUGAAAUAGGACGUUUGAUUCUAUUUUGUUGGUUUCUAGGAUCGACGUAAUGAUUAAUAGGGAUAGUUGGGGGCAUUAGUAUUCAAUUGUCAGAGGUGAAAUUCUUGGAUUUAUUGAAGACUAACUACUGCGAAAGCAUUUGCCAAGGAUGUUUUCAUUAAUCAAGAACGAAAGUUAGGGGAUCGAAGACGAUCAGAUACCGUCGUAGUCUUAACCAUAAACUAUGCCGACUAGGGAUCGGAUGAUGUUAAUUUUUAAUGACUCAUUCGGUCG
rnacentral:rRNA from 1 species